rnacentral:rRNA from 1 species
AGAGUUUGAUCAUGGCUCAGGAUGAACGCUAGCGGCAGGCCUAAUACAUGCAAGUCGAGGGGUAAGAGUCAGCUUGCUGACUACACGACCGGCGCACGGGUGAGUAACGCGUAUGCAACCUACCUUUAACAGAGGAAUAGCCCCGAGAAAUCGGGAUUAAUACCACAUAACAUUAUGAUAUGGCAUCAUAUUAUAAUUAAAACUCUGGUGGUUAAAGAUGGGCAUGCGUGACAUUAGCUUGUUGGUGAGGUAACUGCUCACCAAGGCAACGAUGUCUAGGGGUUCUGAGAGGAUGAUCCCCCACACUGGUACUGAGACACGGACCAGACUCCUACGGGAGGCAGCAGUAAGGAAUAUUGCGCAAUGGAGGAAACUCUGACGCAGCCAUGCCGCGUGCAGGAUUGAAGGCCUUAUGGGUCGUAAACUGCUUUUAUUUAGGAAUAAACUUUCGUACGUGUACGA